CGCGUAGGCGGACAGUUAAGUUGGGGGUGAAAGCCCGGGGCUCAACCUCGGAAUUGCCUUCAAUACUGGCUGUCUUGAGUGUGAGAGAGGUGUGUGGAACUCCGAGUGUAGAGGUGAAAUUCGUAGAUAUUCGGAAGAACACCAGUGGCGAAGGCGACACACUGGCUCACUACUGACGCUGAGGCGCGAAAGCGUGGGAGCAAACA
rnacentral:rRNA from 1 species